GAUGGACGCUGGCGGCGUGCCUAAUACAUGCAAGUCGAGCGAACAGACGAGGAGCUUGCUCCUCUGACGUUAGCGGCGGACGGGUGAGUAACACGUGGAUAACCUACCUAUAAGACUGGGAUAACUUCGGGAAACCGGAGCUAAUACCGGAUAAUAUAUUGAACCACAUGGUUCAAUAGUGAAAGACGGUUUUGCUGUCACUUAUAGAUGGAUCCGCGCCGCAUUAGCUAGUUGGUAAGGUAACGGCUUACCAAGGCAACGAUGCGUAGCCGACCUGAGAGGGUGAUCGGCCAAAAGGGAACUGGAAAACGGUCCAGCACCCUACGGGGGGCAGCAGUAGGGAAUCUUCCGCAAUGGGCGAAAGCCUGACGGAGCAACGCCGCGUGAGGGAUGAAGGUCUUCGGAUCGUAAAACUCUGUUAUUAAGGAAGAACAAAUGUGUAAGUAACUAUGCACGUCUUGACGGUACCUAAUCAGAAAGCCACGGCUAACUACGUG
rnacentral:rRNA from 1 species